rnacentral:lncRNA from 13 species
UUCUUGAUGUGGUCUUAAUGUUGAUUGGUCUUGUUAAACAAUAAGCACCUGUUGAAAUCUAGUGACCACAUAUAUAAUAGAGGGGGAGCCCAGAAUCAUGUUUUUGACUGAGGAAACAUUUUGGAGUCUGGGAUGGAACAUAUAGGAGAAUGGAAUCUGUAGUUGUAAUUUCUCCGUGACCAUAUUGAUGUUACAACUGCCCUUCAUAAUAACUGGGAUAAAUAUAUUUUAUAAAUAACUCUUGAACUGUAUACUUGCAAAAAUGGAAUAACAAUGCAUCACAUUUCAAAUUCGUAACAUAUUUCAGAUGAUCUGAUAUCAUGUCAGGGUCAGGGGGACAGGAUUUUUUAAAUAUUGUCCCACUGACCCCUUCCUCUCUUCUAGAGCUCAAUGAAACUGUCCUCUGCACCAAUGACCAGAUGGAGGUGGUCAUUCCCAGUGCCUUCUUCCUCAAUAAAUUGCCACCCAUUUAUGUCUGGGAUUUGCACCUAAAUGACCCAGAGUGCCGUGGUGUUGAGAUUGAAGAUGACUAUGUCUUCAGCAUCAAGACUAAUCUCUCUGACUGUGGGACAAUCAUGGCAUCGGAUGAUACACACAUUAUGUUCAUUAACACUAUACGCAACAACGAUUUGGAUGUCAUCACAAGGAACUACAUAAACAUCACGUUUGUCUGCCGCUACCCAAUAAACUACAUGGUCCAGCAACCUAAUGGGGAAAACAUGAUCAGGGUGGAUGUCAAGUAAGAUGUCUAGUUAUGGCCUUUAAAAAGGGUUAUGGAUUUUCGUUACGAGUUCAUCAAUACAUGGUUUAAACUUUCAUUAACAUUAUUCACAGAGUCUUAAUCUACAAGCAUUUAGCUACACCCACAAUUACAUCUGCUAAAUAUGUGUAUUUGACCAAUAUAAUUUGAUUUGAUGUAAAAGAGGUCGCUUUAUGUUCUAUGUAGUGCUUGCAGUUUGUAGAAUACAUCAAUCCAAUCACUUCUAAUCGAAUUUUGGACUUGUAACUGUAACUCAUGCAAAUUGGACCUGUAACUGUGACUCAAGCACUGCAUCUGUACAAUCUCUACUAUUCUGUCCAGGAUGAUCACUCUGAACACAGAAGAUGGGAACUUCUCUGUGUCCAUGUUGCUAUAUAAAGACAAGGACUUUGAGGACAAGUGGACCACUGUUCCCUCACUGACACUGGAAGACAACAUCUACGUUAAAGUUUUCAUGGUAAAGGUCAUCAUAUGAUUUCAUUCUGUUUGAAAUCUGUUGUAUUUUUUUCCAAUCUGGACUCAGGGGUAGACGUGACAUAGUAAAUGUAAAUCCAGGACACCAAAUUAGUAUGACAUGUUGCAUUUUGCAUGGUAUGUAUUAAUUUGUGGAUGUCU